UACGAGGGGGGCAAGCGUUGUUCGGAAUUAUUGGGCGUAAAGGGCGCGUAGGCGGUGCGGUAAGUCACCUGUGAAACCUCUAGGCUUAACCUAGAGCCUGCAGGCGAAACUGCCGUGCUUGAGGGUGGGAGAGGUGCGUGGAACUCCCGGUGUAGCGGUGAAAUGCGUAGAUAUCGGGAGGAACACCUGUGGCGAAAGCGGCGCACUGGACCACAUCUGACGCUGAGGCGCGAAAGCUAGGGGAGCAAACAGG
rnacentral:rRNA from 1 species